CUUCACUUUCACAUCACAUUCAGUCAUUCACACGAUUAUUGAUACAGACAGUGAAUGAAACGAAUGCAGUGGUUAUACUGAUUAUACUUAAAGUGACGAUACUACUUAUAGAUCUACCAGUUGAUAAACAUCAGCAUCAUAGAUAAUAAUCUACAUAGAAUCUAUAAUCAUAGUGCCCUUUAUUUAGUCAAUAUAGUCAAGUCAAGGUAGUGGAACGUAAACUCGAAGGUUUAAUACAAUAUGUUAUUAACAAGUAGAACCAUGGCAACCAGUUCUGAUGAUGUACCAGAAUGGCUCAAGGAUCAUACUUAUACUAUUUCUACUCUCUGGGCAUCCAUUCAAUAUUUAAUGUAAGUACUACUAUACAAUUUUUAUUUUAGUUAUCUAAUAAAUGUUUUAUGAAUUGUGUGAUUUUCAUGGUCAAGCAACAUCCAAAUAUCUGGGAUGGAAUUUAACAUUUUUCUCUAAGUUUUUUUUUUUUUUAUUUAUAACACUCUUAAGCACAUUCAUCUUUCAUGAAUGCCUAAUAUACCUUGGCUGUUGUGCAGGCCAUUCCUUUACAAUAAACUGUUAGAUGAAAUUAGGCAAAAUUGUCUGAUAAUUUGUAUGUUUGAUACAACGUUUUCAAUUUAAUAAUAUUAUUUUUUAAUUGUAAUGUUUUCAAAAGAAAUUAACCAAUAUGCCUAAUUGUAUAAUUACAGUUAUGUUUGGAAAUGAAAGAAAAAGGCAUGCAUUCCUGAAAAGUCAAUGAUUGGUUGCACCUCUUAAAGAUAACUUUCUGUUAUGAGAAAAGAUGAGAUUCUUGGACUCCUGCAUAGCACCACCAGAAAGGAAAAUCCCAUCAUGUUGCAAAAUAAAAGUCUUGGACCAAUUUUAAUUUAAGAUAUAUAUAUUAUACUGUAAGCUGUAUACAUAUUUAUGUAUAUCUUGUCAUUCAGCCAACAGGUUUGGAUUUAGUAUUUCUUUAAAUCUGUUUGAUAUUGUACUUGAAAACUAUUAAUCUGAGCCCCAUUAAAACAAGAGGGAGUGCAAUGGAUGAGUGGUAAGGGAAAUUUUACUUUUUUUAAAUUAAAAUAAGAAUCUAACAAAAGUAAACAUAUAAAAUAUGGUGCAUUCUCCUUAAAACUAAAACCUGUUGCAAAGGUUUAAAAUGUUGGCAAAAAAAAAAGCAACAUCAAUUAAAUAUUCUUAAUUCCCUUUGCAAAACUUACUGAGAAGAACAUGCAUGUUGUUCCCCUAUAAGUUUCUUGACAGAGGAAAUCUUGUUUAUAUUAGAUUUGAAUUAAGCAAAUUAAGAAAAAAAUUAUAAUCAUUAUUUCAAAUGGUUGUAUCUAAACCUUAUGAAUUAUUUUUCAGUUAUAAGUAUAUUGAAAUGAAUGGAUAAUCAUGAAAUUGUUAAAUAAUUGCUGCUAUCAUUCCAUUGACUAAAGAACCAUAAUUUUUUUUUUUCAAUUAAUUUCAAAAUUAAUUAAUUAAUUAAUUUUCAAGCAGAGUUCACAUAGAUCUUGAGUGAAAAUUUUCUUUUUUUGACUAAUGCUUCAAUUUUAUUGUAUCAUUAGUUUUUUUAUUUUUAUUACCCAGAAUAUUUUAAAAAUGAGUACACUAUUUUCAUGUAAUAAUGUAACUUGGUAUUCACACAUCAAAAUACGCUAUAAUCUUUAGGCCAUAUAGAUUUGUAUAAAUAUAAAUUAACUUGCUUAAUUACAUUGUAAAUGUAUAUUGUUUGGAUAAGAAUAAAGUUUUUCUGUAGACAAUUAUUGUUCAAGAUUUGUUGAUGCUCCUGCUUAAUAAAUUAUAUACACAGGUCAUUAGUUUUAACACACUACUGACACAAGAAAAACUGGUCGCCCCCACUUCCAUUACAUAGAUGUAAUAAAACGUGACCUCAAAUCAGUGAACAUCAAUACUGACAAUUGGGAAGACAUAGCUUUAGACCGCAACAGAUGGAGAGACAGUGACCAAGAAAGCUAUGGACAGUGAAAGUACAUAGGUCUCAGCUCAGGAAGAAAAACGUA